rnacentral:rRNA from 1 species
ACGGAGGGGGCGAGCGUUGUCCGGAAUUACUGGGCGUAAAGGGUGCGUAGGCGGUUUUUUAAGUCAGAUGUGAAAUCCCCGGGCUUAACUUGGGUGGUGCAUUUGAAACUGGUGAGCUAGAGUGUGGGAGAGGGUAGCGGAAUUCCAAGUGUAGCGGUGAAAUGCGUAGAUAUCAGGAGGAACACCAGUGGCGAAGGCGGCUAUCUGGACUAAAACUGACGCUGAGGCACGAAAGCGUGGGGAGCAAACAG